UCUUGCAUUGAAAUCAUAAUUUGACACUAUUUUUUGUUGUUGUUUUUUACUUGUCUCUUUUAACUGGACUGUAAGCCAACAAUAGAAGGAAACUUUUGUGUUUCACUCACUACUGUGUCCCCAGUGCCUAGAACAGGGCUUGUACAUAGGAAGCAGGAAAUAAACUUUUUUUAAAAGAAAUGAAUGGGGAGCUGAUUUUUCAUGCCCUUGAGAAGCCAAGAUCUCGAGGCAGGCAUAUGUGGGGGUGUCAAAAGCAGGUCAGGAGGUCGUCUCAUUUCCUUGUACUUUCAUUGCAUCAAGGUGCUAACACUGCUUCUCAGGUACCAUUUGUUAACUGAACCAUCAAUGCUUAGGAAGUAGAAAGGAAGAAAUGAAAUAAUUAUGUUUCAGAUUGAGCCCUUUUCCUGGAAACUUGGAAGAGUGUUCCAUACCAUCCAGUCUUUCUGUCACUUUUACCUAUUUCAGGUGUGUCCAGUCUCAGCUGGGAAUGGAAGAUGCUUUGCAUAUCUUUAAAAUCUUCGGGCCAUAGAGUUGGGGAGAGUACAGAAAGAAUACCACAGAACUUUUAUGCCAGAAAAUGGCAGGUGCUCCAAGGGCUAUGUUGGAAUGCUUGGAGUGCAUAAAAAUACCAAGGGCCUUGAAACACUGACAUCCAGAGAAGAAGAAUAAUAAACAAGAAAGUGGCUGCAAUGCCAGAGUUUCAACAGAUCCUUUGUGGCUCUAGAACUGGAACUCUGUCUCCUUUUCUAAGACAGGAUGUGGGGAAUCUUAUAAAAAGCUUCAUAUUUGUAUUCACAAGUUAAUGUGGGAAAGAAACCAGGAUUUCUGUGUCCUUAAGUGAUACGGAGACUCUGGCUCCAGCAAGACAAGGCUCCGAUCCCAGAUGUCAGUCCCCAGCGAUUCAGGGACACUUCAACAUCCUGACUUCAAAUGAAAAAUCAGGUUGCUUUUCGAGAGUUGUAAAAGACUGGAAACUCCCUGACCACUCGCCAACUCACAGAUGCCAGAAACUCUGCAGCCAUAGCCCUGGCCAGAGAUUUUUCUGGCAGAGUGGGGUCCCCUGACCUCUUUAAGAGGAGCACUGCUUUCUGAGGGCUCAGAAGGCAAUCUGAGGCUCCAGCAUCUUGGCCAGGGGCUGUGAAGAGACAAGUGGAGCACAGGGUGGGGUAUGCAGGGAGCAGGAGGUAUCAUGGGCGGGCCCCUCAGGGAGGGCCGUGGAUUAUUCAAAAGUGCCCUGGCCUGCUGUGCAUUCUGGAGGAUAUUCACCAUCAACCCUGCCAGGAAAGAAGGCCUCACAAAACACCAGGUCUGAAGGAAGGAUCAAGGAAUUUCUUUGACAGAUGUUAAUCAAGAAAACCUGAACACCAAGGGAGGCUAUUGCUUCCUCCUGAAACUAUUUGACUGGCUUGGUCUCUUUGUACUUGGGUGGGACUAACCAUGAGAAAAAGCUCAUCUGUGUGAGUUUCGUGGCUCAAUGUUAUGGGGUACAGACGUGAGCUACUCCUCUAAUGUCCAGGAGCUGUAUCAAUCCCAAGAAAUGACUUGCAAUAUCCUGCAUGUGUGUGUGUGUUUUCAGGGAGGGAUCUGGAACAAUUUUCUGGGGCCUGUAAAUGUAAGCUGAUUCACAAGAUGAAGUGCCCCCUCCCUGCCUCUUCCCCCAUCCCGGAAUUGAGAACGGCUCUAGAUUAUGAGGCAGAGGAGGCUGGAGCAAUGACUUUCCUCCCGGAAUACCCGACAGUACCCUGCCUGGCAAGCCUUGUGUACUGUCUUUAUAGGAGUACUUACUAAACUGAACAUAUAGAAGCAGCCUUCAACUUUUAGGAAUCCACAUACAUUCCUCCCAUCCAGAAGGUUAGCUUGUGAUGAGAGAUUCUUUUGGGGAUCUCAUUAACAGUUUCUUCUGUUUGUGGGAUGGCUCUUCCCAAAGGGGUCUUAAAAUCAGAGAACAGGCCUGGCGCAGUGGCUCAUGCCUAUUAUCCCAGCACUUUGGGAGGCCAAGGUGGGCGGAUCACGAGGUCAGGAGAUUGACCAUCCUGGCUAAUGCAGUGAAACCCCGUCUCUACUAAAAAUACAAAAAGAUUAGCCAGGCGUGGUGGCGGGUGCCUGUAGUCCCAUCUACUCCAGAGGCUGAGGCAGGAGAAUGCCAUGAACCCGGGAGGCGGAGCUUGCAGUGAGCCGAAAUCAGCCACUGCACUCCAGCCUGGGCAACAGAGCGAGACUCCUUCUCAAAAAAACAAAACAAAACAGAACAACAGAGAACAAGAUACUCAAGUUUGGGAGGCUAAGUGCUAAUAUUGGUUUUCCUACCAACUCUUUUUUGUCCCAGUUACAUCAUCCACAAAUUCAUAGUCUCUCCCCCUCUCUACUACUCAAUAAAGUUAUUAUGGGGAAUUGUGAUUAAAAAAUGAGAGGAAGGAAAUUUGUAAACUCAAAGUUGUAGUAUUAGUGUAGCUAGAUGAAAUAAGAGUUGGUUCCCCUUCCAUGUUAUUAGCGGAGAAAAAGAGACAGAUUGAGGGAGGAAAAAGAGAUGUAGCAGGAUAUUGUCAUUAAGAUCACAGCAAACUAACAUGACAUACUGUUGGUGAGUAGGUAAGAAAGAUAGCUCUGAGUCCCUCACUUUAAGACACGUAACGGAAAGGAGUCAGAACAUUGCAGGAAGUGAAAGGACUAUUUGAUUCAUCAUUAUCCUAUUCUUAGUUGGAAUUAUUUUCCUCUUCAUUUUAGUUAUGACCACGGGUCAGCCAGACAUUAAGACAAGAGCACAGGGUUACAGUGUGGGAGCCCUAUUUAAUUGAUUCCAGAAUGCACAUCUGUCACAUCCUAACAUCUCUGGGGAUCAGCUCAUGGUGUUGGUCAGGCUCUGUGGAGAUACAGUCGUUAAUAAUAUCAUGGCAGUUCACACUGUCAUCAUGUCAAUUGAAUUGGAUGCAUUGUUGAUGGUAUAGGUGUUGAAUUUAAUUGCGUUUAGAAGAUCCUCAAAAAAUUAUACUAUGAUUUGACAUUAAAAUGAAAAAUUACCUUGUGUGCAAAAAGGCGUAGAAACAGAGCAGCAGGACUUUAAUUUGAUAUUAGUGAAGCAGAUACGCAUGGUUGGAGGAAUGAACACAAUAGUGCAUAAUUUUUGCAAAGUAACAACCGAACUGCUUUCUGGAGCCUAAGAGAGGAAGAGCCAUCCCUUAAGUAGAAGAAACUGUUAAUGAGUUUCACAGAAGGAUUGACCAUCACAAGCCCAGUCGAGUGACAGCAGAAACUGCUGGCACAUCUUGGAUGAAUGAAAGAAACGUCAAAGCAAUCAGAGGCUUGCAUGACUGGAUAACUAUAGUUAAAGCAGUGUAUCAUGUCGUCUAAAGGAUGGUGUUGCUCCUGGUGACUCAUAAGGUGUGUCUUAGGAUCAAUGGAAAAUGGUACAAAUGUAAGCUUAUAACAUUCAGGGAGUUACUACCAUUUUUAAAAGAAAAGGCAGACAGACCUAGUGCCUCUUUUGCUGGUGGGCUUAGUCUUUUGAGAAUCAGUACAGAGGUCGGCACAUGGCCGAUCAGGGACUAUGUGCCUGUGGUGCUACUUGCCCUAAUGACUCAGAACACACAGGAGAUAGGACAGGUCUCAAGAGUGUGGAGGAAUAGAGCAAGUGUCCAGGACCUGUCCUCCUUCUAGACAUGUGAAUGUGAGAUGGACAAUGGAUUUUUUUAAAAAAGAGUACAGUUCUUUAUUUAAAGAAAGAAUUUGCAGUUUUGGAAUGCUUCUUAUAAACCAGCAAAAACUAACCCUAGAUUUUAAAAAAGCCUAGCAGUUUCAGCACCCUACAACAAAUAUAAAACGUUUUAAAGUAAAUUCAACUAGUAAAUAUUUAAUCAUCUCCAAGAUUAUACCUUUAAAUUUAUGAAGCAUGAUUAUUUUAUGAGUAUAUUAAAUUCUGUAUGAUGAAUUUUUAAUGUCCCUAAAAUAACAAAAUUACUUCAGAUUAAUAAAAGGACCAGAAACAAA